rnacentral:lncRNA from 10 species
CUUGGAGGGGUGGCAGGGCCUUGGCCGGCAGCUGACCUCAGCCCCUGUCUAAUUGGCCCCUGCAGGAGCCAGGUGCUAAUUGGGCCUGGCUGGGACAAUGGAGACCGGCUGGGCUGGGGUGGGGGCGGGGCUUCCUGGAAGAUGCUGGCUUCCCAUUCCUACUUCCCCUCCUAGGCUUUUCUGAACGCUGCCUGACCCUCAAGGCUCCAUUCUGGGCCCUCCUCCUCCAGGAAGACCCCCGGGCUAUCCCAAGACAGGCCAUCAGUCAUGACUCCUUGGGUAUUGGGCCAGAGUCCAGCCUCUGCUGACAGCAGAUUGGGGCCAGCCCUUGCUCUCAGCCCAGCUACCAAGAAAGAAAAGCGGCCCCUGGUGGCCAGGAGCUGGCGGCCACAGCUGGACCCUGGUGUCAUUCACAACACCACUCUCUGACCACUCUGUAAAGUGUGUGAACACAGAUAAAACAUAGUCAUUGUCCAAACCACAAAAAUGACCAAACUCCCUUUCCUGGCUAAUAUGAGUGACUGCUGCUUCUUUAUUAGUGACCAUCAUUCCUGCCUUCUCGAUGAGAACUCCUAUGAUACCGACUCUUAGAAUGCUGAUUCUAAGCCAGCCUCCCGCUGUCAUCUAACCCAGAGCAAAGCCUGUUUCCUCAAACCCUUUCCCAAAUCCCCUAACACCAGCUUGAAUCUGUGAAGUCCUUUCCCACACACUCUUUCUGGGAUGCCCCGCAACUCCCAUGGUUGCAUCCCCCUUACUACAACGAGUCAAUAAACCCAGAAUAACUCCAACUUUGUUAAAC